GGCUCAGGAUGAACGCUGGCGGCGUGCCUAACACAUGCAAGUCGAGCGAUUUACUUCGGUAAAGAGCGGCGGACGGGUGAGUAACGCGUGGGUAACCUGCCUCAUACACAUGGAUAACAUACCGAAAGGUAUGCUAAUACAGGAUAAUAUAAGAGAUUCACAUGGAUUUCUUAUCAAAGCUCCGGCGGUAUGAGAUGGACCCGCGUCUGAUUAGCUAGUUGGUAAGGUAAUGGCUUACCAAGGCGACGAUCAGUAGCCGACCUGAGAGAGUGAUCGGCCACAUUGGAACUGAGACACGGUCCAAACUCCUACGGGAGGCAGCAGUGGGGAAUAUUGCACAAUGGGCGAAAGCCUGAUUGCAGCAACGCCGCGUGAGUGAUGAAGGCCUUCGGGUCGUAAAACUCUGUCCUCAAGGAAGAUAAUGACGGUACUUGAGGAGGAAGCCCCGGCUAACUACGUGCCAGCCGCCGC
rnacentral:rRNA from 1 species